UACGGGGGGGGCAAGCGUUGUUCGGAAUUACUGGGCGUAAAGGGCUCGUAGGCGGCCAACUAAGUCAUACGUGAAAUCCCUCGGCUUAACCGGGGAACUGCGUCUGAUACUGGAUGGCUUGAGUUCGGGAGAGGGAUGCGGAAUUCCAGGUGUAGCGGUGAAAUGCGCAGAUAUCAGGAGGAACACCGGUGGCGAAGGCGGAUCUCUGGGCCAUUACUGACGCUGAGGAGCGAAAGCGUGGGGAGCGAACAGG
rnacentral:rRNA from 1 species